rnacentral:rRNA from 1 species
AUACGGAGGGUCCGAGCGUUAAUCGGAAUUACUGGGCGUAAAGCGCGCGUAGGUGGAUGUAUAAGUCAGAUGUGAAAGCCCUGGGCUCAACCUAGGAACUGCAUUUGAAACUGUACGUCUAGAGUAUGGUAGAGGUGAGUGGAAUUUCAGGUGUAGCGGUGAAAUGCGUAGAGAUCUGAAGGAACAUCAGUGGCGAAGGCGACUCACUGGGCCAUUACUGACACUGAGGUGCGAAAGCGUGGGUAGCAAACAGGAUUAGAAACCCGAGUAGUCCC